AGUGCAGGGAUUGUGUGUAUCAGGGCUGUGCUGAAUUCAAUGCACUCUUCUGAAAGAUUUCCCUGCAAGAUUACUAUGAGAAAAUGGGUAGAGUCACAUACUGAAUGACAAGAUGGCAGUGCUGCUGCAUUAAACCAUCCAGUCUACAACUAAGUUUGUCAAAGUU